CGGGCUGUAAUAUAACGGUAGUAUACAUGCAUGGGGUGCAUGCGGCCCGGGUUCAAUUCCCGGCAGCCCGACCA
rnacentral:tRNA from 1 species